rnacentral:piRNA from 1 species
ACCGGCAAGGAGGGACGCCAACA